rnacentral:misc_RNA from 1 species
UGCUAUUAGCAAGUCCCCAAGCAAGCUCAACUAGUUGCUCCGCACUCAUUACCGUAGUGCUUCCAAAAUUGAUGUAAAUCACAGAGUUGGGUUCCUUGGAAUCCAACCAUUUAAUGCACUCGGGUUCUUCAUUCCAUAGAUUGCACUCAAUGGAAUCAUAACGAUCAUCAGAAAUUUGAUCCAUAAGCAAUUGUAGAGGACCAAUGCUAUAGACCUUUUGAAACAUGGGCGAGACGCUGCUUAGGACUUCACCUUCCAGGGCAUCAAAAGUGUGGAAUAUAACAGCUGAAGCUUUAGAGGCCCUUUCCAAGUCCCCUUCACUAGAGUCAG